CCCUAGCCCCGAUAGAAGCGGCAUCCUUUUUUGUGAUGCCUGAGCGCAGUCGAAGGUGUCACAAAAAAGAUACAGCGGAUAGCGGGAUUAGGC
rnacentral:sRNA from 1 species